rnacentral:sRNA from 1 species
UUCAUAGACCCAAAGACUGAAAUUCUGUUUAUCCACAGAAUGGGACCAGACAGGCAAUCGCCGUGCAAGCUUCCCCACUCAUAGGCCUAGAUCCUUGUUCUAGGGAGAGGUAGUUCAGUCUUCAUGCCCAGUGAUGCCUUGGCCUCU